UACGUAGGCAGCAAGCGUUGUUCGGAGUUACUGGGCGUAAAGGGUGCGUAGGCGGUCCUAUAAGUAUGGUGUGAAAUCCCCGGGCUCAACCUGGGAAUUGCAUUCGAGACUGCGCAGCUGGGGUGCGGAAGAGGGAAGCGGAAUUUCCGGUGUAGCGGUGAAAUGCGUAGAUAUCGGAAGGAACAUCAGUGGCGAAAGCGGCUUCCUGGUCCAGCACCGACGUCAGGCACGAAAGCGUGGGGAGCAAACAGG
rnacentral:rRNA from 1 species